CUGUAUUUCAUUGUUAGCUAUUCAGGACAGGCUCUGAAUAUAACUAAUAAUAAUAAACAUUUUUUUUAUGUAACUGGUGAGGUAUCAGUUACACAUAUAUACAAAAAUGUCAGAAAGAGGUCUUCUGACUAAAUUCACUAGAAAUUAGUAUUUUCUCUUCGGGUAAUUUAUUUUCUUACUAAGAUAGCAGGACUCAGCCUUUUUAUGUAUUUUUCUGACACACCAAC
rnacentral:lncRNA from 1 species